GAGAGGGCCCGCAUGCAAGAACUGCUAAUUCUAGCACCUAAGAUUGAACCCUUAGACCUCUUA
rnacentral:tRNA from 1 species